CCUACGGGAGGCAGCAGUGGGGAAUAUUGGACAAUGGGGGCAAGCCUGAUCCAGCCAUGCCGCGUGUGUGAAGAAGGCCUUCGGGUUGUAAAGCACUUUCAGCGAGGAGGAACGGCCUAGUAGUUAAUACCCAUUAGGAAAGACUCACUCGCAGAAGAAGCACCGGCUAACUCCGUGCCAGCAGCCGCG
rnacentral:rRNA from 1 species